rnacentral:rRNA from 1 species
CCUACGGGUGGCAGCAGUGAGGAAUAUUGGUCAAUGGGCGAGAGCCUGAACCAGCCAAGUCGCGUGAGGGAGUACUGCCCUAUGGGUUGUAAACCUCUUUUGUCGGGGAGCAAAAGCCGGACGUGUCCGGCUGUGAGAGUACCCGAAGAAAAAGCAUCGGCUAACUCCGUGCCAGCAGCCGCGGUAAUACGUAGGGUGCGAGCGUUAAUCGGAAUUACUGGGCGUAAAGGGUGUGCAGGCGGCUGAGUAAGACAGAUGUGAAAUCCCCGGGCUUAACCUGGGAACCGCAUAUGUGACUGCUUGGCUAGAGUGCGUCAGAGGGAGGUGGAAUUCCAAGUGUAGCAGUGAAAUGCGUAGAUAUGUGGAAGAACACCGAUGGCGAAGGCAGCCUCCUGGGACGCAACUGACGCUCAUACACGAAAGCGUGGGGAGCAAACAGGAUUAGAUACCCGGGUAGUC